GACGAACGCUGGCGGCGUGCUUAACACAUGCAAGUCGAACGGACAGGCCCCCUUGUUGCGUACUCGAGUUUCGCACGGGUGAGUAACACAUGAGUAACCUACCCUUCCUUUUGGGCUAACUUCACUAAACUGAAGCUAAUCCCAUAUCGGAGCUUCUGCUGCACGGUGUGGUUUGGAAAUUUUCGGCGGUUUGGGAUUGACUCAUGGCUUAUCCGCUUGUUGGUGGGGUAGUGGCUAACCAAGCCUUUGACGGGUAGCCGGCCUGAGAGGGGGCCCGGGGACAAGGGGACUGAGAGACGGACCAGAAUCGUACGGGAGGCAGCAGGGGGGAAUAUGGCACAAUGGGCGGAAGUCUGAUGCAGAAACGCCGCGUGCGGGAUGACGGGUUUCGGGGUGUAAACAGCUUUCGACUGUGACGAAGAGGGAGUGACGGUAAUGGGUAAAGAAGCACCGGCUAACUACGUG
rnacentral:rRNA from 1 species